GCUGGGUGUUGUGGCGUGCGCCUGUAAUCCCAGCUACUCAGGAGGCUGAGGCAGGAGAAUCACUUGAACCCAGAAGGUGGAGGUUGCAGUGAGCUGAGAUCACGCCACUGCACUCCAGUCUGGGUGACAGAGUGAGACUCUGUCUCAA
ensembl:misc_RNA Metazoa_SRP Metazoan signal recognition particle RNA